rnacentral:misc_RNA from 1 species
GAUGAAGAACGUAGCGAAAUGCGAUACGUAAUGUGAAUUACAGAAUUCAGUGAAUCAUCGAAUCUUUGAACGCAUAUUGCGCUCUUUGGUAUUCCGAAGAGCAUGCUUGUUUGAGUAUCAGUAAGCACCUCAAAGCUUUUGGAUUUUUUAAUCGAAAAGCUUUGGACUUGAGCAAUCCCAACACCAAUCUUUUUGAGAUCGGUGGCGGGUUGCUUGAAAUGCAGGUGCAGCUGGACAUUCUCCUGAGCUAAAAGCAUAUUCAUUUAGUCCCGUCAAACGGAUUAUUACUUUUGCUGCAGCUAACAUAAAGGGAGUUUGACCGUAUUGGCUGACUGAUGCAGGAUUUCACAAGGGUCGGCAACGAUUCUUGUUAAACUCGAUCUCAAAUCAAGUAAGACUACCCGCUGAACUUAAGCAUAUCAAUAAGCGGAGGA